rnacentral:rRNA from 1 species
UUUGGUGCCAGCAGCCGCGGGUAAUUCCAGCUCCAAUAGCGUAUAUUAAAGUUGUUGCGGUUAAAAAGCUCGUAGUUGGACUUGUGUCCCACGCCGUCGGUUCGUCGCCCGUCGACGUAACCGCACGGUUAUGUGAGUGGGACGUCCAGCCGGUGGGUCGUCAGGUCGCGCGCUCAGCUGGCCGCGCCCCUUGACGGUGUCCAUACAGUGGCCUCGCCGUGACGUGCGUCGGGUGGGUGGUUGCGGCGUUCGCGUCGCGCCCCCCCUGGCCCGUCAUCAGCGGCGUGUGUCGCGGGGCCCGUCUCGCAGGGUGUCGCUGCGUCGGCGCGCGCGGUGCCGGACCCAUGUUACUCGUCUCGGUGCUCUUAAUCGAGUGUCUUGACGGGCCGGCUCGUUUACUUUGAACAAAUUAGAGUGCUUAAAGCAGGCCAAUUGCCGCCUGAAUAUUGUGUGCAUGGAAUAAUGGAAUAGGAUCUCGGUUCUAUUUUGUUGGUUUUCUGAACCAGAGAUAAUGAUUAAUAGAGACUGACGGGGGCAUUCGUAUUGCGACGUUAGAGGUGAAAUUCUUGGAUCGUCGCAAGACGAACAGAAGCGAAAGCACUUGCCAAGAAUGCUUUCAUUAAUCAAGAACGAAAGUUAGAGGUUCGAAGGCGAUCAGAUACCGCCCUAGUUCUAACCAUAAACGAUGCCAACUAGCGAUCCGCCGGAGUUCCUCCGAUGACCCGGCGGGCAGCUUCCGGGAAACCAAAGUGUUUGGGUUCCGGGGGAAGUAUGGUUGCAAAGCUGAAACUUAAAGGAAUUGACGGAAGGGCACCACCAGGAGUGGAGCCUGCGGCUUAAUUUGACUCAACACGGGAAAACUCACCAGGCCCGGACACUGGAAGGAUUGACAGAUUGAUAGCUCUUUCUUGAUUCAGUGGGUGGUGGUGCAUGGCCGUUCUUAGUUGGUGGAGCGAUUUGUCUGGUUAAUUCCGAUAACGAACGAGACUCUGGCCUGCUAACUAGUCGCACAUUGACGACAUCCGCAUUCGUGCUGUCGGCGACAAAUAUAAACUCUUCUUAGAGGGACAGGCGGCUUCUAGCCGCACGAGAUUGAGCAAUAACAGGUCUGUGAUGCCCUUAGAUGUUYUGGGCCGCACGCGCGCUACACUGAAUGGUUCAACGUGUGUCUUCCCUUGACCGAGAGGUCCGGGUAACCCGCUGAAAUCCAUUCGUGCUAGGGAUCGGGGCUUGCAAUUAUUCCCCGUGAACGAGGAAUUCCCAGUAAGCGCGAGUCAUAAGCUCGCGUUGAUUACGUCCCUGCCCUUUGUACACACCGCCCGUCGCUACUACCGAUUGAAUGAUUUAGUGAGGUCUUCGGACAGUCGCGCGGCGGCGCCCGCGAGGGCCCGUCGAUGUUCGACUGAAAGAUGAUCAAACUUGAUUAUUUAGAGGAAGUAAAAGUCGUAACA